rnacentral:ribozyme from 1 species
CGCAUGGAGCGGAUCCAGAAUCUCGUGGCCGCCAUGGGCGGGGACGUUUCGGUUCAAGAUCUCCGCGAGCUUUUGCGAGCUGAGGAUUUGCAAGAGAUGCACUC